rnacentral:rRNA from 1 species
CCUACGGGAGGCAGCAGUAAGGAAUAUUGGUCAAUGGACGAAAGUCUGAACCAGCCAUGCCGCGUGAAGGAUUAAGGCCCUCUGGGUUGUAAACUUCUUUUAUCUGGGACGAAAAAAGGGUAUUCUUACUCACUUGACGGUACCAGAGGAAUAAGCACCGGCUAACUCCGUGCCAGCAGCCGCGGUAAUACGGAGGGUGCAAGCGUUAUCCGGAUUUACUGGGUUUAAAGGGUGCGUAGGUGGGCUUGUAAGUCAGUGGUGAAAUCUCCGGGCUUAACCCGGAAACUGCCAUUGAUACUAUAGGUCUUGAAUUAUCUGGAGGUAAGCGGAAUAUGUCAUGUAGCGGUGAAAUGCUUAGAUAUGACAUAGAACACCAAUUGCGAAGGCAGCUUACUACGGAUAUAUUGACACUGAGGCACGAAAGCGUGGGGAUCAAACAGGAUUAGAUACCCUGGUAGUCCACGCCCUAAACCGAUGGAUACUCGACAUCAGCGAUACACUGUUGGUGUCUGAGCGAAAGCAUUAAGUAUCCACCUGGGAAGUACGAUCGCAAGAUUGAAACUCAAAUGAAAUUGACGG